rnacentral:rRNA from 1 species
UACGAAGGGUGCAAGCGUUAAUCGGAAUUACUGGGCGUAAAGCGUGCGCAGGCGGUUUUGUAAGACAGGUGUGAAAUCCCCGGGCUUAACCUGGGAACUGCAUUUGUGACUGCAUUGCUGGAGUGCGGCAGAGGGGGAUGGAAUUCCGCGUGUAGCAGUGAAAUGCGUAGAUAUGCGGAGGAACACCGAUGGCGAAGGCAAUCCCCUGGGCCUGCACUGACGCUCAUGCACGAAAGCGUGGGGAGCAAACAGG